rnacentral:rRNA from 1 species
UACGUAGGGUGCGAGCGUUGCCCGGAAUUACUGGGCGUAAAGAGCUUGUAGGUGGUUUGUCGCGUUGUUCGUGAAAUCUCACGGCUUAACUGCGAGCGUGCGGGCGAUACGGGCAGACUAGAGUACUGCAGGGGAGACUGGAAUUCCUGGUGUAGCGGUGGAAUGCGCAGAUAUCAGGAGGAACACCGGUGGCGAAGGCGGGUCUCUGGGCAGUAACUGACGCUGAGAAGCGAAAGCGUGGGGAGCGAACAGG